AGCGUAGGCGGCGCGGUAAGUCAGAUGUGAAAUCCCGGGGCUCAACCCCGGAACUGCAUCCGAUACUGCCGUGCUCGAGGAUUGGAGAGGUAGCUGGAAUUCUUGGUGUAGCAGUGAAAUGCGUGGAUAUCAAGAGGAACACUCGUGGCGAAAGCGAGCUACUGGACAACUCCUGACGCUGAGGCUCGAAGGCCAGGGGAGCGAAAG
rnacentral:rRNA from 1 species